rnacentral:rRNA from 1 species
CUGGUUGAUCCUGCCAGACCCGACUCCUAUCAGAAUGAGAUUAAGCCAUGCGAGUCAACGUAGCAAUACGUGGCACACGGCUCAGUAACACGUAGUCAACAUAGCCAGAGGACGUGGAUAAACUCGGGAAACUGAGGCUAAACCGCGAUAGACCAAGAUACCUGGAAUGGUUUUUGAUCAAAAUCUAUAUGGCCCCUGGAUUGGACUGCGGCCGAUCAGGCUGUUGGUGAGGUAAUGGCCCACCAAACCUGUAACCGGUACGGGCUCUGAGAGGAGGAGCCCGGAGAUGGGCACUGAGACAAGGGCCCAGGCCCUAUGGGGCGCAGCAGGUGCGAAACCUCUGCAAUAGGCGAAAGCUUGACAGGGUUACUCUGAGUGAUUUCCGUUAAGGAGAUCUUUUGGCACCUCUAAAAAUGGUGCAGAAUAAGGGGUGGGCAAGUCUGGUGUCAGCCGCCGCGGUAAUACCAGCACCCCGAGUGGUCGGGACGUUUAUUGGGCCUAAAGCAUCCGUAGCCGGUUCUACAAGUCUUCCGUUAAAUCCACCUGCUUAACAGAUGGGCUGCGGAAGAUACUAUAGAGCUAGGAGGCGGGAGAGGCAAGCGGUACUCGAUGGGUAGGGGUAAAAUCCGUUGAUCCAUUGAAGACCACCAGUGGCGAAGGCGGCUUGCCAGAACGCGCUCGACGGUGAGGGAUGAAAGCUGGGGGAGCAAACCGGAUUAGAUACCCGGGUAGUCCCAGCUGUAAACGAU